UAGAGCAUUUUCACUCAGAUGAAACCUCAGAUCUGGAGGCUUCAUAUUACGAAAUGCAACUACAGCAUGUUUAGAUAAAAUCAGCCUAUCUUCUCUUCUCAGGAAUCUUGUGACUUCGGUCGCAUACUGUGUUGCUGUUGUGUAAUAGUAAUGCUUUUAAAUAAAUGAGAUGCGGUAUGCACCACGAUCUAAGGGGCGUUCACAACGAACACGUCUUUGCACACAAACCGCCACGGGGAGGGAGACAGUGCUAAUAUAAACCUGUUAGAUGUGAAAUGUUCAGUAAACCGCUUUCUGAACGCCUCCCCAAUGAAUGAGGCAGGACUAUAAGGCCACAUUUGCAUGUGUAAGCAAGUUCAAGUCUCAAGAAACCGCUUCUAAAAUGGUUCCAUCGACGUUCUCAUAAGACCCGAGUUUAUUCUAUAGCUCAUUUAGCUGAGUCAAGGUCAUAGACCUGGUGAGAUAGCCUACUUCUUGUGUCUUCACUCAGAAAUGGGGCGCUGCUCUUUGACACAUCAAAUAGAUGCAUUAAAUAUCCUUUACGAACUGCGCGCUCAUACGACGACCAGUGAUGGAGAGUCAUGCCAGAGUCCCGGUACUGCUGCGCCAGGUGUACUUGGUCAGGUUGAGUUCAUGAAAGCGCCCUGUAGAGUAAUGACGAUCGCGGAGAGAGCUCGAGAAAACUGCUUCUCACGACUGGUCGAAAUACUGACAAAGUUGAUAUCAAUCGAGGAAGACUUAAUUAAAAGUGUAUCUCGGAACGUAAGGAGUUUGCUCUGGCACAAGGACAGCGUUGACUUGAAGAACAUAUGCUUGAGGAUGAAGGUGGCUUUUUGUGAAGGAGGUUCUCGCUCAGACAGAGACUUGAAGGAACUUUGCGACUGUCUUCGGCUUAUAGUCAGUAACCUGCUCGCAUAUGUGCGAGAUGAAAACAAUCUGUCAUCCACAAUGUUCACCAGCAGAUUGAGGGAACUGUCAAACGCAUUCCCUGAUAUCUAAAGAUCAGUAGAUGUGGGAUUUCGUGACAUCAAUUCUAGGGAACUACCUCCUCGGGUCAGUGGAGAGAAAAAGAUACAGAAAAUGACCGGUAAGAAGAGGGAACAUUUUUAUCUUGAAAGGCCUCGAGCCAGGACUCAAACUCUGGUCACUCAGGAUGAGACCACACAGCGCCUGCCUACAGGGCUAAAGCCUCGACAGCAUUGUUUUUUCCUCCGUAUUUGUGUUCUGUAUGUCAGAUAUUUAUUGUUUUGGGUCAGUACUCCAAAAAUGUCAUUCCAUUGACUACAAGUAGCAUGAGUCUGCUCUAAGCUUACUGUACAGGUAUAACAAGUCUAGUAGCUGAUGGUGCUGAAUCCACUCUCAACUCAACGGAUGGGAUGCCUGAACAAAGUCACACCUCUGGGAUGGGUAUGGUGUGACAAGCAUUGUCAUCUGAUUGUAUGAAGAAAAAGAGCUGGUCAUGAAGUAAAAUGUUUUGGGUGGAAGCAGGGGCUUGUUUUAAAUUGCAUGUGUUUGUCUCUGUCAUGUAUUCCUGUGUCCUUAAUAGUAUU